GUUCGUAGUUGAAACGAAACGUUUGCCGAGCCGUCUCUUUUCAGAGCGCGAAGCGGAUGCGGGCUUUUCGAAAGCCUCAGUUACUUUGAGAAAAAUAGAGUGUUUCAGGCGGGCUAGAGCUUGAAUAUUGUACCAUGGAAUAACGCAGGGCCAUCCGUCUCUUUCUUUGGUUUUGGAUUGGGUGGCACGUGGUUGAUAGGAACAGUCGGGGGCAUUUGUAUUGGACAGUCAGAGGUGAAAUUCUUAGAUUUGUUCAAGACAAACUAAUGCGAAAGCAUCUGCCAAGGAUGUUUUCAUUAAUCAAGAACGAAAGUUAGGGGAUCAAAGACGAUCAGAUACCGUCGUAGUCUUAACUGUAAACUAUGCCGACUAGAGAUCGGUGGACAUCAUUACGGAUUCCUUCGGCACCUUAUGAGAAAUCAAAGUUUUUGGGUUCUGGGGGGAGUAUGGUCGCAAGGCUGAAACUUAA
rnacentral:rRNA from 1 species